rfam:Oryza glumipatula chromosome 7, whole genome shotgun sequence.
AAUAAGUAAUGUUUUGCACUGUUUACGUCCAAUGUUUGACCGUUUAUCUUAUUUAAAUUUUUUAUGAUUAGUAUUUUUUUUGUUAUUAGAAGAUAAAACAUAAAUAGUAUUUUAUGUGUGACUAAUUUUUUUAAAAAAAUCAUAAAAUUUUCAAAUAAGACGGACGGUCAAACGUUGGACACGGAUAUCCAUGGGUUGCACUUAUU